rnacentral:rRNA from 1 species
AACGAACGCUGGCGGCAUGCCUAACACAUGCAAGUCGAACGAGACCUUCGGGUCUAGUGGCGCACGGGUGCGUAACGCGUGGGAACCUGCCCUUAGGUUCGGAAUAACUCCCCGAAAGGGGUGCUAAUACCGGAUAAUGUCUUCGGACCAAAGAUUUAUCGCCUUUGGAUGGGCCCGCGUUGGAUUAGCUAGUUGGUAGGGUAAAAGCCUACCAAGGCGAGGAUCAAUAGCUGGUCUGAGAGGAUGAUCAGCCACACUGGGACUGAGACACGGCCGAGAAUCCUACGGGAGGCAGCAGAGGGGAAUAGUGGAACAUGGGGGAAGGCAUGAACCAGCAAGGCCGCGUGAGUGAUGAAGGCAUUAGGGUUGUAAAGCUCUUUUACCCGGGAUGAUAAUGACAGUACCGGGAGAAUAAGCUCCGGCUAACUACGUG